rnacentral:rRNA from 1 species
UACUAAGCCAUGCGAGUCAUUGUAGCAAUACAAGGCAGACGGCUCAGUAACACGUAGUCAAUCUACCCUGUGGACGGGGAUAACCUCGGGAAACUGAGAAUAAUACCCGAUAGAUCAUUAUGCCUGGAAUGGUUUAUGGUUCAAAUGAUUUAUCGCCAUAGGAUGGGACUGCGGCCUAUCAGUUUGUUGGUGAGGUAAUGGCCCACCAAGACUAUUACAGGUACGGGCUCUGAGAGGAGAAGCCCGGAGAUGGGUACUGAGACACGGACCCAGGUCCUAUGGGGCGCAGCAGGCGAGAAAACUUUGCAAUGUGCGAAAGCACGACAAGGUUAAUCCGAGUGUUUUCUGCUAAAGAAAUCUUUUGUCAGUCUUAAAACCACUGAUGAAUAAGGGGUGGGCAAGUCCUGGUGUCAGCCGCCGCGGUAAUACCAGCACCUCAAGUGGUCAGGAGGAUUAUUGGGCCUAAAGCAUCCGUAGCCGGCUUUGUGAGUUUUCGGUUAAAUCUAUAUGCUUAACAUAUAGGCUGCCGGAAAUACUGCAUAGCUAAGGAGUGGGAGAGGUAGACGGUACUUGAUAGGAAGGGGUAAAAUCCUUUGAUCUAUUGAUGACCACCUGUGGCGAAGGCGGUCUACCAGAACACGUCCGACGGUGAGGGAUGAAAGCUGGGGGAGCAAACCGGAUUAGAUACCCGGGUAGUCCCAGCUGUAAACAAUGCAAACUCAGUGA